rnacentral:rRNA from 1 species
AGAGUUUGAUCCUGGCUCAGAACGAACGCUGGCGGCAGGCUUAACACAUGCAAGUCGAGCGCCCCGCAAGGGGAGCGGCAGACGGGUGAGUAACGCGUGGGAACGUGCCUUUUGGUUCGGAACAACUCCGGGAAACUGGAGCUAAUACCGGAUAAGCCCUUCGGGGGAAAGAUUUAUCGCCAAAAGAUCGGCCCGCGUCUGAUUAGCUAGUUGGUGAGGUAAUGGCUCACCAAGGCGACGAUCAGUAGCUGGUCUGAGAGGAUGAUCAGCCACACUGGGACUGAGACACGGCCCAGACUCCUACGGGAGGCAGCAGUGGGGAAUAUUGGACAAUGGGCGCAAGCCUGAUCCAGCCAUGCCGCGUGAGUGAUGAAGGC